CCCUGUACCAAGAGUGACCAAGGUCUCUGUUUGCUAGGUCAUUGAUACAACAGGAAAAGAAAGCUGAAAGUCUCUCCUGUGUUUGGAGGAUUGCUUGUUCUUGUCAAACCCUGUAUUGUUCACACA